GAACCUUAACGGUGGAUAUCUCGGCUCUCGUACCGAUGAAGAACGCAGCUAACUGCGAAAAGCACUGCGAAUUGCAGACUCUGUGAGUCAGUAGAUUUUCGAACGCAACUAGCACCAACUUGUUGGUAUGCUUAGUUCAGGGCCU
rnacentral:rRNA from 1 species